rnacentral:rRNA from 1 species
GAUGAACGCUGGCGGCGUGCUUAACACAUGCAAGUCGAACGAAGCAUUUGCGACAGAUUUUUUCGGAAUGAAGUUGCUUAUGACUGAGUGGCGGACGGGUGAGUAACGCGUGGGUAACCUGCCUUGUACUGGGGGAUAGCAGCUGGAAACGGCUGGUAAUACCGCAUAAGCGCACAAUGUUGCAUGACAUGGUGUGAAAAACUCCGGUGGUAUAAGAUGGACCCGCGUCUGAUUAGCUAGUUGGUGAGAUAACAGCCCACCAAGGCGACGAUCAGUAGCCGACCUGAGAGGGUGACCGGCCACAUUGGGACUGAGACACGGCCCAGACUCCGACGGGAGGCAGCAGUGGGGAAGAUUGCACAAUGGAGGAAACUCUGAUGCAGCGACGCCGCGUGAGUGAAGAAGUAAUUCGUUAUGUAAAGCUCUAUCAGCAGGGAAGAUAGUGACGGGACCGGACUAAGAAGCUCCGGCUAAAUACGU